rnacentral:rRNA from 1 species
GCGUUAUCCGGAAUCAUUGGGCGUAAAGCGCCUGUAGGUUGUUUAAUAAGUCUGUUGUUAAAGACUGGGGCUUAACCCCAGGAAAGCAAUGGAAACUACUAGACUAGAGUAUGGUAGGGGUAAAGGGAAUUUCUAGUGUAGCGGUGAAAUGCGUAGAUAUUAGAAAGAACACCGGUGGCGAAAGCGCUUUACUGGACCAUUACUGACACUCAGAGGCGAAAACUAGGGUAGCCAAAGGGAUUAGAUACCCCUGUAGUCCUAGCCGUAAACGAUGGAUACUAGAUGUUGCGCUUAUUGUGCAGUGUCGUAGCUAACGCGUUAAGUAUCCCGCCUGGGGAGUACGAUCGCAAGGUUGAAACUCAAAGGAAUUGACGGGGGCCCGCACAAGCGGUGGAGCAUGUGGUUUAAUUCGAUGCAACGCGAAGAACCUUACCAGGGCUUGACAUACUGCAAAUUUUCUUGAAAGAGAAAAGUGCCUUCGGGAAUGCAGAUACAGGUGGUGCAUGGCUGUCGUCAGCUCGUGUCGUGAGAUGUUGGGUUAAGUCCCGCAACGAGCGCAACCCUCGUUUUUAGUUGCCAUUUUAUGGGUUCUCUAGAAAGACAGCCGGUGACAAACCGGAGGAAGGUGGGGAUGACGUCAAGUCAGCAUGCCCCUUAUGCCCUGGGCUACACACGUGCUACAAUGGCUAAGACAAAGAGUCGCGAAUUCGCGAGAAUCAGCUAAUCUCAUAAACUUAGUCUAAGUUCAGAUUGUAGGCUGCAACU